rnacentral:lncRNA from 1 species
UUCCUAUUUUAAUUGUCAUAGUAAUUUCUUACUUCAUUCCAGUAUAUGUUUCUUAAUUGAUGGUUCUUAUAGUAAGCAAAGCUGAAUGUAAAAUAUUGUUUGAAAUAAACAUCUUUUGAUGGCGCAGUUGUACAAAAUGUGUCUUUCUGCUGCCCAUAUACAGUUAAAAAACAAAAGUAAUUUGACUAUAUUAGGCUAAUUUUGCUAGACAGAUUCAGUUCAUGCUUCAGCUGUCAGAACAACUGCUGCCUUCAUACUGAUACUGAUUUUGACGUUUGUUUGAGCAACUGAAAUAUCACAGAUUCAAGGAAAGAAUACUUCUAAUCAGCUGCUUACAAAUAAUAAUGGGACCAAGAAUUAUUCACAGAAGAAAUUCCUCAAUAGCUGCAUGAAGCACAUAUACUUGAAAAGAAUUAUAAGGAGAGUACACAUGUGCCUGUAUCCAUCAAGUGACAUCAUACUCCUCAACAGCAAACAACAAACCUUUGACCCUUAGUAAGAAACCAAAAGCAACAACUACAGCAUGUCUCAGGAAAAUAGGAGUCUCCAAGA